GAAUAUCUCAUAACACUACUUUUUAAUUUUUGACGGAAUCAAUUUUCUAUGCCGAUUAACACAGCAUUAAAAAAUUAUGGAACAAAAAAAGGAACUUUCUUAUUGGAAAUGCAAAUCUUAAAUGCUAUCCUACCAAAUUCUGUAAUAGUGACAUUAAAAAAUUCACGAGCAUGCCCUUAAAAUCAAAUGCUUACGUGGUUUGUGUUUUUAAAGUAAAUCUUGUCAUUUUCUACCCAUGAGUAAUUAAUUCUUAGCGUUUCGUCGAUUUCUUCAAUCUCCCCCCAUAUCGAAGGUGCAUUUGCAUUCAUCCUAGACCUGUAAACUAAGAAAAAGAAAUAACGGUUUGUAGAAAAUUGCUGUUGCCGGGAACUUAGAUAGUAAUUUCCCGGGUAAAAACCCCAAUGUUUUCGGGAGUCUCAACUUCAAUUUACCUCUGUCGAACACUGAUUAAUGGCCGUUCCAAGAACAGGAUGUCAAUAGUCGUGCUGGAUAUUUCGAAAAUGUCUUACAACCUGUGCAUUAAGGAAUUCUUCGGAAAGGCGAAGGAAGAGUGGCCAUGCUUAUAAAGGAAGAAUAGGUCCCGAUCUGGUGUUGGCUGAGAAACUAUGGACUUGGAUUUGUUAAAGAAAUUUUCUCAAAUUAAACAGUUCCAAAAUUAGCGCGAGGAGAAAACUAUCUGAAAAUCAUAGGGGAUUGUCGGUGUUCGUGUGAAUUUUUGGGGUCUGUAUUGGAUUCCAAUUUUCCGAAAUCUUGUGCUAUGCAUAACACGAGAAAAAAAAGGAAACUGCUUAGAGUGAAACAAGGCAUUUAUGUAUGUGCAUAGAAUGCUCAAAUGGAUUGCCAUUUGUCUUAUUCGAAGGUUAAUCUUCUUUUUUUUUACCAUCUUGUGUUAUGAAAUGCGUACCAGAAGGAAAAGGCUGGACUCGAGUUGGUAAAUUUUUUUUUUCGUCCCUUAAAGUUUGAGGUGGUGCCGUACCGCCACGUCAUUCGAUUUUAAUAGUAUAAACAUUAGAUGAACUCUUCGAGUUCAUCUAUCAUUGAUACAGAAUCAAACAACCAACCUAAAGGAAACGAAGAAGUAAGCAAUAUUCCCCAUCAACGAUGUCUUUUUACUUCAUUUGGAUCUCAUGUGAUCUAUGUAAUGAUCUAUGUAAUGAACAUCAUGACGAAUCAAGGUGAUAAUCUUAUCGUCGCUUACGAAGCCACGAAUGAAACCAACCAUAAACUCGUUCGAAGAUUUGGCCGCAGAUAAAGAAGUUUCGAUACUUCUUAGGCAUGACACGGUGAUGGGAGAACAAAUAUUGAAAGCGACCUCUGGUGUUUAUAAUCUUGGAAUCUUGGAGACCAAGGCCGUAGAAACUCUGAUCGUUAUUGUUGGCGAUCCGUUGAAGUUAAACGCGAUGUUGGAAACCGGCCGAUAUGCUUAUCCGUCUCUUUCAACAUCUGGACUUGGAAUGCUGACGUUUUUGUUGGAACAGAUAUAUUAAAACUACGAAAAGCACAAACAUCGUUAGCUUCCGCUAAUAAU